GAACUCAGUGGCAAUGUCUCACUCUCGAAGUCAAAAGUAGCCGAUUUCCUCCUACUCGGGGAGGAUACACUGAACAGGAUCUCCAUCUCCUCAUCACCAGAUUCUGAUGCUGCAACUGUUACUUUCUCAUCCAUAGAACCCAUAACUGGAAAAAGGGAACAACUUUAAUAGCAGAUGAACAAGUAUUGAUUGGAAAGUCAACCCAGCAAAGGAACCCAGCAAGCCCAGUUC
rnacentral:lncRNA from 1 species